rnacentral:rRNA from 1 species
CGCGUAGGCGGGAUGGCAAGUCGGUCGUGAAAUCCUUCGGCUCAACCGAAGAACGUCGGCCGAUACUGCCGUUCUUGAGGGAUGCAGAGGAGACUGGAAUUCCCGGUGUAGCGGUGAAAUGUGUAGAGAUCGGGAGGAACACCGGUGGCGAAGGCGGGUCUCUGGGCAUCUCCUGACGCUGAGGCGCGAAAGCGUGGGGAGCAAACGGGAUUAGAUACCCCGGUAGUCCACGCCAUAAACGAUGACGACUAGGUGUGGGGUGGUUCAGUCCACUCCGUGCCGCAGCUAACGCAUUAAGUCGUCCGCCUGGGGAGUACGGCCGCAAGGUUGAA